rnacentral:rRNA from 1 species
AUUGAACGCUGGCGGCAUGCUUUACACAUGCAAGUCGAACGGCAGCGCGGGCGUCGGCCUGGCGGCUAGUGGCGAACGGGCGAGUAAUACAUCGGAACGUGCCCAUUAGUGGGGGAUAGCCCGGCGAAAGCCGGAUUAAUACCGCAUACGACCUGACGGUGAAAGCGGGGGACCGAAGGGCCUCGCGCUCUUGGAACUGCCGAUGUCGGAUUAGCUAGUUGGUUGGGUAAAGGCUUACCAAGGCGGCGAUCCGUAGCUGGUCUGAGAGGACGACCAGCCACACUGGGACUGAGACACGGCCCAGACUCCUACGGGAGGAAGCAGUGGGGAAUGUUGGACAAUGGGGGCAACCCUGAUCCAGCCAUGCCGCGUGCGGGAAGAAGGCCUUCGGGUUGUAAACCGCUUUUGUUCGGGAAGAAAUACUCUGGGCUAAUACCCCGGGGGGAUGACGGUACCGGAAGAAUAAGCACCGGCUAACUACGUG